rnacentral:rRNA from 1 species
GACGAACGCUGGCGGCGUGCUUAACACAUGCAAGUCGAACGGAAAGGCCCUGCUUUUGUGGGGUGCUCGAGUGGCGAACGGGUGAGUAACACGUGAGUAACCUGCCCUUGACUUUGGGAUAACUUCAGGAAACUGGGGCUAAUACCGGAUAGGAGCUCCUGCUGCAUGGUGGGGGUUGGAAAGUUUCGGCGGUUGGGGAUGGACUCGCGGCUUAUCAGCUUGUUGGUGGGGUAGUGGCUUACCAAGGCUUUGACGGGUAGCCGGCCUGAGAGGGUGACCGGCCACAUUGGGACUGAGAUACGGCCCAGACUCCUACGGGAGGCAGCAGUGGGGAAUAUUGCACAAUGGGCGGAAGCCUGAUGCAGCAACGCCGCGUGCGGGAUGACGGCCUUCGGGUUGUAAACCGCUUUCGCCUGUGACGAAGCGUGAGUGACGGUAAUGGGUAAAGAAGCACCGGCUAACUACGUGCCAGCAGCCGCGGUGAUACGUAGGGUGCGAGCGUUGUCCGGAUUUAUUGGGCGUAAAGGGCUCGUAGGUGGUUGAUCGCGUCGGAAGUGUAAUCUUGGGGCUUAACCCUGAGCGUGCUUUCGAUACGGGUUGACUUGAGGAAGGUAGGGGAGAAUGGAAUUCCUGGUGGAGCGGUGGAAUGCGCAGAUAUCAGGAGGAACACCAGUGGCGAAGGCGGUUCUCUGGGCCUUUCCUGACGCUGAGGAGCGAAAGCGUGGGGAGCGAACAGGCUUAGAUACCCUGGUAGUCCACGCUGUAAACGGUGGGUACUAGGUGUGGGGUCCACUCCACGGGUUCCGUGCCGUAGCUAACGCUUUAAGUACCCCGCCUGGGGAGUACGGCCGCAAGGCUAAAACUCAAAGGAAUUGACGGGGCCCCGCACAAGCGGCGGAGCAUGCGGAUUAAUUCGAUGCAACGCGUAGAACCUUACCUGGGUUUGACAUGGAUCGGGAGUGCUCAGAGAUGGGUGUGCCUCUUUUGGGGUCGGUUCACAGGUGGUGCAUGGCUGUCGUCAGCUCGUGUCGUGAGAUGUUGGGUUAAGUCCCGCAACGAGCGCAACCCUUGUUCAUUGUUGCCAGCACGUUAUGGUGGGGACUCAGUGGAGACCGCCGGGGUCAACUCGGAGGAAGGUGGGGAUGACGUCAAGUCAUCAUGCCCCUUAUGUCCAGGGCUUCACGCAUGCUACAAUGGCUGGUACAGAGAGUGGCGAGCCUGUGAGGGUGAGCGAAUCUCGGAAAGCCGGUCUCAGUUCGGAUUGGGGUCUGCAACUCGACCUCAUGAAGUCGGAGUCGCUAGUAAUCGCAAAUCAGCAACGCUGCGGUGAAUACGUUCCCGGGGCU